GAGUUUGAUCCUGGCUCAGAUUGAACGCUGGCGGCAGGCUUAACACAUGCAAGUCGAGCAAAAGGAAGGUAGCUUGCUACUGGACCUAGCGGCGGACGGGUGAGUAAUGCUUAGGAAUCUGCCUAUUAGUGGGGGACAACAUCUCGAAAGGGAUGCUAAUACCGCAUACGUCCUACGGGAGAAAGCAGGGGAUCUUCGGACCUUGCGCUAAUAGAUGAGCCUAAGUCGGAUUAGCUAGUUGGUGGGGUAAAGGCCUACCAAGGCGACGAUCUGUAGCGGGUCUGAGAGGAUGAUCCGCCACACUGGGACUGAGACACGGCCCAGACUCCUACGGGAGGCAGCAGUGGGGAAUAUUGGACAAUGGGGGGAACCCUGAUCCAGCCAUGCCGCGUGUGUGAAGAAGGCCUUAUGGUUGUAAAGCACUUUAAGCGAGGAGGAGGCUACUUUAGUUAAUACCUAGAGAUAGUGGACGUACUCGCAGAAUAAGCACCGGCUAACUCUGUGCCAGCAGCCGCGGUAAUACAGAGGGUGCGAGCGUUAAUCGGAUUUACUGGGCGUAAAGCGUGCGUAGGCGGCUUAUUAAGUCGGAUGUGAAAUCCCCGAGCUUAACUUGGGAAUUGCAUUCGAUACUGGUGAGCUAGAGUAUGGGAGAGGAUGGUAGAAUUCCAGGUGUAGCGGUGAAAUGCGUAGAGAUCUGGAGGAAUACCGAUGGCGAAGGCAGCCAUCUGGCCUAAUACUGACGCUGAGGUACGAAAGCAUGGGGAGCAAACAGGAUUAGAUACCCUGGUAGUCCAUGCCGUAAACGAUGUCUACUAGCCGUUGGGGCCUUUGAGGCUUUAGUGGCGCAGCUAACGCGAUAAGUAGACCGCCUGGGGAGUACGGUCGCAAGACUAAAACUCAAAUGAAUUGACGGGGGCCCGCACAAGCGGUGGAGCAUGUGGUUUAAUUCGAUGCAACGCGAAGAACCUUACCUGGCCUUGACAUACUAGAAACUUUCCAGAGAUGGAUUGGUGCCUUCGGGAAUCUAGAUACAGGUGCUGCAU
rnacentral:rRNA from 1 species